rnacentral:rRNA from 1 species
GUAGGUGGCAAGCGUUGUCCGGAAUUAUUGGGCGUAAAGCGCGCGCAGGCGGUUCUUUAAGUCUGAUGUGGAAGCCCACGGCUCAACCGUGGAGGGUCAUUGGAAACUGGAGAACUUGAGUACAGAAGAGGAAAGCGGAAUUCCACGUGUAGCGGUGAAAUGCGUAGAGAUGUGGAGGAACACCAGUGGCGAAGGCGGCUUUCUGGUCUGUAACUGACGCUGAGGCGCGAAAGCGUGGGGAGCAAACAGGAUUGGAUACCCUGGUAGUCCACGCCGUAAACGAUGAGUGCUAAGUGUUAGGGGGUUUCCGCCCCCCUUAGUGCUGCAGCUAACGCAUUAAGCACUCCGCCUGGGAGUACGGCCGCAAGGCUG